UACGGGGGGGGCAAGCGUUGUUCGGAAUUACUGGGCGUAAAGGGCUCGUAGGCGGCCAACUAAGUCAGACGUGAAAUCCCUCGGCUUAACCGGGGAACUGCGUCUGAUACUGGAUGGCUUGAGAUUGGGAGAGGGAUGCGGAAUUCCAGGUGUAGCGGUGAAAUGCGUAGAUAUCUGGAGGAACACCGGUGGCGAAGGCGACAUCCUGGACCAACACUGACGCUGAUGCGCGAAAGCCAGGGGAGCAAACGGG
rnacentral:rRNA from 1 species